AUUGAACGCUGGCGGCAGGCCUAACACAUGCAAGUCGAGCGGAUGAAGGGAGCUUGCUCCUGGAUUCAGCGGCGGACGGGUGAGUAAUGCCUAUGAAUCUGCCUGGUAGUGGGGGAUAACGUCCGGAAACGGGCGCUAAUACCGCAUACGUCCUGAGGGAGAAAGUGGGGGAUCGUCGGACCUCACGCUAUCAUAUGAGCCUAGGUCGGAUUAGCUAGUUGGUGGGUUAAAGGCCUACCAAGGCGACGAUCCGUAACUGGUCUGAGAGGAUGAGCAGUCACACUGGAACUGAGACACGGUCCAGACUCCUACGGGAGGCAGCAGUGGGGAAUAUUGGACAAUGGGCGAAAGCCUGAUCCAGCCAUGCCGCGUGUGUGAAGAAGGUCUUCGGAUUGUAAAGCACUUUAAGUUGGGAGGAAGGGCAGUAAGUUAAUACCUUGCUGUUUUGACGUUACCAACAGAAUAAGCACCGGCUAACUUCGUG
rnacentral:rRNA from 1 species